rnacentral:rRNA from 1 species
UACGUAGGGUGCAAGCGUUGUCCGGAAUUAUUGGGCGUAAAGAGCUCGUAGGCGGUUUGUCACGUCGGAUGUGAAAACUCGGGGCUUAACCCCGAGCCUGCAGUGGAUACGGGCAGACUAGAGGUAGGUAGGGGAGAAUGGAAUUCCCGGUGUAGCGGUGAAAUGCGCAGAUAUCGGGAGGAACACCGGUGGCGAAGGCGGUUCUCUGGGCAGUAACUGACGCUGAGGAGCGAAAGCGUGGGGAGCGAACAGG